rnacentral:lncRNA from 1 species
CAGGGUUGGCAAAGUAUUACCCGCCCGGGUUUUACUGGGCGGGAAAACCCGGGUUUUCCCGGGCUGGGCAAUACUCCCUGAAAUGGGGAAUACUGGGGAAUACUGGGCAAUAUGAUUUUUUAAGCUUAUUUCAACACAAAAUAGUAAAGACCUGUUGUAGUUUCAUAGUAUUAUAGCUAAAUAUAUACAUUUUAUACAGAUAACCAUUGAGAGUCAUUUCUAGAAGAUUAAAACUUCAUUCUCUUCUCCACAUAAAUUCUAUGUAGGAAAAAUACAAUAUUUGCAUAAUUUAGGAUUCCUCGUUAAUUUCCAAGCAUUGUUUCAAUAAUCUUAACAUUUUAUUGCAGUGUUUAAGUGAAUUGUAAAUUAAAUUGCUA